rnacentral:misc_RNA from 1 species
GAUGAAGACGUAGUGAAACGCGAUAUGUAAUGUGAAUUGCAGAAUUCAGUGAAUCAUCGAAUCUUUGAACGCACAUGGCGCCUUCCAGUAUCCUGGGAGGCAUGCCUGUCCGAGCGUCGUUUCAACCCUCGAGCCCCCGUGGCCCGGCGUUGGGGAUCUGCCACGGCAGGCCCCUAAAACCAGUGGCGGACCCGAAGGCCCUCUCCUUUGCGCAGUAGCAUCAGCCUCGCAUUGGGAUCCCUCGGCGUCCUGCCUCUAAACCCCCCACAAGUCCGCUCCGGCGGCACCAAGGUUGACCUCGGAUCAGGUAGGAAUACCCGCUGAACUUAAGCAUAUCAAUAAGCGGAGGA